rnacentral:rRNA from 1 species
AGAGUUUGAUCAUGGCUCAGAGCGAACGCUGGCGGCAUGCUUAACACAUGCAAGUCGAGCGCCUCGCAAGAGGAGCGGCAGACGGGUGAGUAACGCGUGGGAAUCUACCGUGCCCUAAGGAAUAGCUCCGGGAAACUGGAAUUAAUACCUUAUACGCCCUUCGGGGGAAAGAUUUAUCGGGGUAUGAUGAGCCCGCGUUGGAUUAGCUAGUUGGUGGGGUAAAGGCCUACCAAGGCGACGAUCCAUAGCUGGUCUGAGAGGAUGAUCAGCCACAUUGGGACUGAGACACGGCCCAAACUCCUACGGGAGGCAGCAGUGGGGAAUAUUGGACAAUGGGCGCAAGCCUGAUCCAGCCAUGCCGCGUGAGUGAUGAAGGCCCUAGGGUUGUAAAGCUCUUUCACCGGUGAAGAUAAUGACGGUAACCGGAGAAGAAGCCCCGGCUAACUUCGUGCCAGCCGCCGCGGUAAUAC